GUCAUCCUAGCUUCGGCUGGACAUAUACUAAAAUUGGAACGAUACAGAGAAGAUUAGCAUGGUCUUGUAUUGACUAAUGUUUUAUGGAAGAGUCUCGAAUUUCU